CUACACAAUUUGUGUUUCAUAAGGAUUUUUUGAGUUAGUUUUGAUGCCACUCCGUUCCAAUGAAUGCAUGUUUGAGUUGGAGGUUGUGUUAACCUUGGAGGGCAUGCCGGUAGUAAAACAAUUUAGCACCAAGAUAGUGCCAAUUUUGCUUUCAAGGUAGUGGUUCCGCCCACGUCAUAACAAAUUUUUCUCAAUUGUUCCAAUUUCGACCCUACCAUUUCCAACAAUUUGAAAGCAAUACCCAUCUACCCAUGGCUGUUAUCCGAUCUGGGAAGGUCCUGCCGGACUUGUCAAAUUGGAACCACUCAAUGGAUCCAACUACCCUGAUGGUCACAGAAGUUACUAAUUUUCUUUGAGCAGUUGGAGAUCGACUAUAUCCUCACUGUUGCUCAGCUUGCCGCUUUUGCUACCGCUGUAGCCACAGCUGCUACCAUCACUAUAGUCAUCACUGAUUCGUCUGUUGUUGUCACUGCCACCGUUUCAGCUGUUGCUGCUGAUCUCAGGACAUCUACUACCGCUGUCGUUGAAACUAACAAAUUCGAAAAAGACAACAAAACGGUCUGUGGGUAUCUCCUAAACCAUAUGAACGACUCUCUAUUUGAUCUUAUUGUAGUCCAAAAAUCUACAAAUGUCACUUGGGACACGUUAAAGUCUAGAUAUGGUGGGGAUGAUGCAGGUCGGAGGAAGUACGUCGUCGGUAAAUGGCUACAAUUUCAAAUGUCGUAGGACAAACCGGUGAUGGAUCAUGUUCAUGAGUACAAGGACCUGGUGGCAAGUGUGUUGUCUGAAGGCAUGAAGAUGUGCGAGAUUCUUCAGGCCAAUGUGUCGUUCGAGAAAUUUCCUCCUUCCUAGAGUGAUUAUCGCAGCCACCUGAAACAUAAGAAGAAGGACUGAACUCUGCAAGAACUGAUCAGUCAUGUGUGUAGAAGAAGUCAACAAGUUAAAGGAUAAGCUCUCUUCUCAAUCCCGAAAUUCAAUUAAAGCUAACUUAGUUGAAUCUUCUACUACUUCCAAAGACGGGUUCAAAAACAAAGGGAAGCUAAUUGCAAGGAAUAGAGCUCAAAAGAACAAAGGUCUCCAACCUAAAAAUACUAGUAGAAUAAUUGAGAAAUCCAAACUGGUAUGCUAUGCCUGUAGAAAAUCUGGACACAAAUUCUAUUAGUGCACCUAGAGGAAAGAUAUGAAAGAUUAAAGGGUUACUCCACAAGCCAACCUUGUAGAGAUGGACGAUAUUAUUGCCGCUAUGGUUGUGAAAGCAAAUCUGGUAGAGAACAAAUCCGACUGGAUUCUUAACACAACAGCAUCCAAACAUUUCUGCUCGAACCGUGAUCUCUUCCAUAACUUUCAGGACUCCGCUGAUGGUGAAUGUGUUUUUAUGGGGAACUCUGCCACAGCUGGAGUAUUUGGGAAAGGGAAGGUUCUCUUGAAACUAACAUCUGGCAAAACUUUAUCAUUAAGUAAUGUGUUGUAUGUUCCUUCUUUACGUAGGAAUUUGGUGUCAGGAGGUCUACUGAACCAAGCCAGACUCAAGAUUGUGUUUAAGUUAGCCCGACAAGGUUAUUAUCACAAAAAAUGGUGACUUUGUUGGAGGAAACUGCACUUUCCAACUGUUUAUUCUUAACAUGGUCCCUCACAAAAGGCGGGAUAAAACACCAUAUGAGCUCUGGAAAGGGUAUUAACCAAAUUUGAGCUACUUGAAGCAAAACAGACCUUCAUUGCUUGCUCUACCAUGGAAUUUGAGUUCAUAACACUUGAACUGGCCGGUCAAGAGGUUGAAUGGCUGAGAAGUCUUCUUGAAGAUGUGCCACUCUGGGGGAAUUCUGUACCUGUAUCUAUACACUAUGACUCACAAGCUGCCAUAGUGACUGCAAAAAAUAAUGUGUACAAUGGCAAGAGAUGCCACAUACGUCCAAGACAUGAAGCUAUGACGCAGUUUCUGAAAGAAGGAAUUAUAUCUUUGGAGUAUGUGAGGUCCAAGAGGAACUUAGCAGAUCCUUUCACCAAAGGCUAAAUAAGGAGAGUAAUUCUGGAGUCCUCAUGAUGUAUGAGACUCAAGUCAUGAUGCUUACUCACUGGCAUGAAUCCAUAGCCCUUCUUUUGGGUGGUCCAUGUAUGGAAUUGAUGGAUGUAAUGAAGUAUAUGUGAAUCUAUAGCUCUUCUUUGGGUGGUCCAUGAAUGAACUGGAUGGAUAUGGUGAAACACUGCGAAUUCAUUACUUA